AUGGAGAGAUUCAGAUUGGCUCUUGUUGAUUGUGGUCUUAAGGAUUUGGGUUUUAUAGGGGAUAAGUACACCUGGCGCAACCAUAGCUGGGAUGCUAGCCGGUACAUCAAGGAAAGGUUAGAUAGAGCGGUUGGCUCGAGAAGCUGGUGUGCAAGGUUCCCACACUGUAAAGUGGUGAACGGAGACCCGCGUCAUUCAGAUCAAAGGCCAGUGACUAUCCAUAUAAAAGGAGUUAUUGGGGCACAAAAAUUCAGAAGAAGGGCACACAACUUCAGAUUUGAGGCAAGAUGGCUACAGGAGGAAGAUUGUGAGGCCAUUGUAAACAAUGCCUGGGCCAAAGCAAAGCGGAGAGGGGAGACUACUAUUCAAGGUAUGCCGAGCAUGGUUGCAGGGGACUUGAAAAACUGGGACGCCAAUGUGUUGGGAGAUCUUCAAAAAAGAAUAAAAGAUCUAAAGAAAGAGUUGGAGGAGGUAAGAAGAGGGGAUAUUAAUCAAGACCAAGUUUCAAGAGAGCACUUCCUUAGAGAGAAAUUGGAUCACCUUGAAUACCAACAGGACACUCAUUGGAGACAACGUGCCCAUGUCAAAUGGCUACAAGAUGGGGAUAGAAAUACGUCUUUCUUCCAUGCUUUUGCCUCGGAAAGGAAAAGGAGAAACACCAUCCAAAAAUUACUGAGGGAUGAUGGGAGUUGGGCUGAAGGGGAAGACUCACUCAAGGAACAUGUUACAAACUAUUUUUCUAACAUAUUUUCCUCCAAGAUUAUAUGGAGCAACAUUGAGGAAAUUAUGCAGGCUGUAGAUGUAAAGGUGACAGAGCAAAUGAACAAUGGGCUGUGUGCUGAGUACACAGAAGAAGAGGUUAAAACAACACUAAAUUGCAUCGGCGAUCUUAAGGCGCCGGGUCCCGACGGAAUGCCUGCUAUUUUUUUCAAAAAGUUUUGGCAAACUGUUGGAGAAGAGGUGGUCAAGGAAGCACUUCAUAUUCUAAGAGGGGGAGACAUGCCAGAGGGUUGGAAUGACACAUUCAUUGUUUUAAUCCCGAAGAACAACAAUCCAAUGAAGAUUAAUGAUCUCAGACCAAUAAGCCUAUGUAAUGUGGUAUACAAGCUGGUCUCAAAGGUAAUUACAAAUAGGCUUAAAGUAAUUCUCCCCAACAUUAUCUCCCCUAACUAA
rnacentral:rRNA from 1 species